UAUAAACAAAGGCAAAGUCAAAGCAUAUCAUAGUAUAGUGUAUUUCCUCCUCCAGAUGCCAUGAUAACUGUGGCAGCUGAACAGUUCCACCGCUAAAGAAGACUCUUGGGACCCCAAAUGGUCAUGAUUGCAAAUCUACAGUUUGUUGGAGAAAAAAAUGGAUGCAACAUAGCAACAGCAUUAAGGAGAAACAUCAUAGUCAAAAGCUGUCUAAUAGUAAGGGAUCUGGAGUGGCCAGUUCCCCAGGUGAUGACUAUGCAGCUUUUUCAUGGACCACAACAUGUUCAUUACAAAGGAUUUAAAACUCAAAUGUAUUGAUGGGUCUGCCGAACUGCUAAAGUGUUACCUGACAAGUUUCCUGAGAGUGAACUCAACAGAGAAAAGAGCAUCUGCAGACAAGAUAUUAACCCAUGAGAACAGCACAACCACUAUCAUGCAGCUCCUCCUGAGCCCUUGACACAUCUCCACAUUCUCUCAUCAUCUCCUCACUGCUCAGAUGCCUUUCCUGCCUCCAAGAGCGCUGGGAACAACAGACGCGCAGACCUGCGGACAGACAGGAGACAGGGUAAACACCGAUGACUCCCAGAUCUACAGCUCCAGGCUGUUCCCUUCUCCGUGUCUCAUAUCAGCUUUGCCAACUGUUUAUUGGACAUCACCGCCUGAGUAUCCCUGAGGGACACGAUUAUCCUGUUUGGAGUGUAUUGAACUUCUUGGAUACAUCGAUUAGUGUCUUUCCUCAAGUUUGAGUAAUUUGCAGUCAUUUUUCCUUUGAAAAUUCUUUCUUCUCUAUUCUGUUUCUCUCCUUGUUGAACCCCCAUCAUGCAUAGGUGUGCUCUGUUCAUUUUUCACAUUACUUUUAUUUUUCUGCUCCUCGGACUGAAUAAUCUCAAUUGACCUAUUUUAAGUUCACUGAUUCUUUUGCCUGCCCAAACCUACUGUUGUACCCCUCUAGUGACUUUUAGUUAUUGUACUUUUCAAAUAAAGAAUUUCUAUUUAUUUUAUAAUUUCUACAUCUCUUUGUAUUUUUACAUCUUUACUGAUAUUGUGUAUUUGCUGAGACAUUCUUCUCUUUUUC
rnacentral:lncRNA from 1 species